GCCGCCAUCGUCUAGCCUGGUCAAGGACACGAGAUUUUCACUCUCGGAAUCGCGGGUUCAAAUCCCGCUGGCGGUA
rfam:Candidatus Gottesmanbacteria bacterium RIFCSPHIGHO2_01_FTLL_47_48 rifcsphigho2_01_scaffold_6566, whole genome shotgun sequence.